GACGAACGCUGGCGGCGUGCCUAACACAUGCAAGUCGAACGGGGUAAUUUCUUCGGAGAUUACUUAGUGGCGAACGGGUGAGUAACGCGUGAGAAACCUGCCUUUCAGUGGGGGACAACAGUUGGAAACGACUGCUAAUACCGCAUGAUACUUUCGGAUCGCAUGGUCUGAAAGUCAAAGCUUUAAGUGCUGAAAGAUGGUCUCGCGUCUGAUUAGCUAGUUGGUGAGGUAACGGCUCACCAAGGCGACGAUCAGUAGCCGGUCUGAGAGGAUGAACGGCCACAUUGGGACUGAGAUACGGCCCAG
rnacentral:rRNA from 1 species